UACGAGGGGGGCAAGCGUUAUUCGGAAUUAUUGGGCGUAAAGGGCGCGUAGGCGGUCUUGCAAGUCCUGUGUGAAAUCCCUCGGCUCAACUGAGGAACUGCACAGGAAACUGCUUGGCUUGAGUUCGGGAGAGGGAAGCGGAAUUCCGGGUGUAGCGGUGAAAUGCGUAGAUAUCCGGAGGAACACCGGUGGCGAAGGCGGCUUCCUGGACCGACACUGACGCUGAGGCGCGAAAGCUUGGGGAGCAAACGGG
rnacentral:rRNA from 1 species